CAGUCGAUUAUUGGCGCGAAAACAGUGCUAGAGCAGGUGCCAGAGAUAGUGUCGGUCAAAAUUUCAUUUUAAAGUUUCAGAUUUGGGGAACUGUUCUUACACUUCCGUGGUAAAUUAGUUUUUGUUAAAUGUAACAAACUGUAACUUUAACUUAGUUGCUGUCUGGCUUUUUUGGCAAAUGAAUGUCGGAGCCGUCAUAUUCAACAUUUUCAGCACACCGUCACAUCUUACUCGACGAUCGACGUGGAGAUUAAGAUAAGACUAGGUGAAGAUCUGACAUCGCAGAAUUCUUCAAGGAUAACCCAGGAAACACAGAACGUUGUGACGACGUCGCCAGUUCGUCGUCCUUUGGUCAGCGCGACAUUACUUUAUGGCGACGUUGUGAGGACGUCGUGGUAAAGUUCCAUUUUUUAGAAUCUUGACUAACGUUCCAGAAACGUCGUGGGCACGUCCUCAAAAGACGUCGCUUGUUAGUCCCGUGAAGAACGUUGUAGCGACGUGGUCAGCUGGUCUCAUGAUAACCUUUCAUAUUAUUGCACUACAUGUAUUAUCAUGUUAAGAUAACAUUUGGAUAGCCUAUAUUUUGGAAAAUAUACUGAAUUAAUCAAGCAUUUUAAAAGAUGGCAUGAAUUAUUAUAUUUGUAGAUGUAUGUGUCAUCAAAUUAAGGACAAAACAAAAACCAAAUAGUUUGCUUAGCAAAUGGUGAUCAUUGUUAAUUACAUGUUUGUGAAUGACUGAGAAUGAGAUUUAGUGAAAGAGGGCACGGGACAAAUUAACAUUUAAACCAGCAGCGCGUCACUGUCUGAGUACUGCGCGAGAGUGCGCGUGCCCGUCAUUAACGGUCAACUUCCAGCAGACGGACACGGAGGAAAAGGUAAGCCUAUAAAUCUACUUGUAUUCAUCGUUUUUACUGAUUUAUAACGUUAGAUGUCACCAAAGAUGAGUAGUGUUUUGUAUUUUUGUAGGUUUUCCAAUUUAAUUUAAUAAAUAAAUGCCCUGUUCCGUUAAUUAGCUCACGAGCAGUCUCAUGAGGCGGUCUGAGGUAACGUUAACCGUUAAAAUCUUGAGAUACAAUUUUAUACCUUUCUUUUAGUUAUUUGAAAUUUAACACGAUAAACUAUACAGUAUUCACUUUCAAAUUCUUUAAACUUUAACCGUAGUAAAGUUAAUUAGUUUGUUUGACUGUCGCUAGUCGAUGAUACUAAUGCUAGCCAUACUGUAAACUUGAAUAUAAACCGCUGUAUGAAGUUUAAUUAGACCGAGGCUGCAGAAAUCAUGUUCAGUGUCUGGGAUUAAUAAUUUCCGCCUUUCCCCCUCAAGUGACAGGCCUGUAAAUUGUGUCAUCUGCUCGUUAAUGGUGUUUUUUACAUGCAUGCUUUUUAUGCUAGUUUCAUUCUCAAAUAGAUCUGAUACUUUAGUUUCAACAAAUCUUUAAUAAACAAAUGGUUCACUUUUUUUAGGUCCUGACUGCCACCAGUUGAGUCAAUGAUUCAGUGGAGAGACAAUCUGGGCAGCAGCAACAAGACAACUAUUACGAGUAGAGAUGGGUUUCAAGAUCCAGGUGCAAGGUGCAAUAAGAUGCAAGGAUCCAGGAUCAAGAGAUCAUUCAUCAUGAAGACUGUUCAAUAGCAAGCAGCGAAUCCUGGAUCAUCCUGACCAUUCUGUUGUCCUGGAUUUGAAGACAUGCUGGAACUGUAUUUCUCAUGGUUGAAAGAUUUUUGCAGCGGUAUCCAGACAUAUAAGCACCCUUCCUGGAUCCACACGACUAAAGGCUCUGGAGGAGAGACAGAUUCAAGGGAAAGAUGAAAAUAAGAAGACCGCAGCGAGGGAAGGAAGUAAUCAUCACAAUCUGCCGGAGAAGGAUAUUGACAGUGCAGGCUCAGGACGGCGAAGAGGAGGAAGAACACCUUUAACAUAAUUUUCUCAUACCUUUGUCAUGUGUUAUAAUAAAAACAAUAAACCUGACUACAAUAAUAUGGUAAAUUUUAUUAAAAGAUUCCAGUUUGCAAGGAAUCUGGAGUCUCUGACUCUGCACUAAAGGAACUCUUUGCUGAGGAAGACCAAGUGCUGAGGAGGAGCCUUGUUCUACAGCAAAACACUGCAUCAACCCUCCAUGACAAGAUGAAGAGUGAAGAGUCUCCCUCCUGUCCUUCCUUCAGAAGAGCCUGUCUUCUGCUGCUGGGGUAAGAACGACACUCUUCCUCUUCUCUCACAGCCGUCCAGCACCUAACUCUGCCUCCUCAGCACUGUCUGAAAGAGUCUUCUCCACAGUCAGUAAUCAGAGAUCACACAUUCUCCAGAGAAAGUCAACACGCUCAUUUUCCUAAACAAAACUGUUUAUGUU